rnacentral:misc_RNA from 1 species
CGCCCAGUUGCUUCAAUCCCAAUGCAAAUUUAACAUACAUAUUUUGCAGCCUCUCCCUAUUAAUCCGAAUGAAAAUUUGAACAAAUUUCGUAUCUGAAAGCAUGGAGAUAAGUAGACGCUGGGUUGGAGCUGAAAUGGAUGAGAACCUUGUCAACUUCUUAGCAGCAGCCAGAACAUUCUCAUUGGAGGAGUACAAAACGCCCACCCUGAAACCUGGCAGAGACAGAUCAUUUGAUAGACCAUAUACUAUAUGCACUCUGUCCCUGUCUGAAUCUUCUAAAUCAAUGAGUUCUGCCAUGCUAACAAACUCUUCACUUCCAUGAGUGGACCCAGCAAAUAUUUCAUUACACACUAUAUGGAUGUUCUUCUCCCUGGCAAAGUCCAGAAGGCUAUAGA